GCGGGCGUGGCGGAACCGGUAGACGCAACGGACUUAAAAUCCGUUGAGGGAAACCUCGUGUGGGUUCGAGUCCCACCGCCCGCACCA
rnacentral:tRNA from 1 species